rnacentral:rRNA from 1 species
ACCGGCAGCUCAAGUGGUGGCCAUUUUUAUUGGGCCUAAAGCGUUCGUAGCCGGUUUGAUAAGUCUCUGGUGAAAUCCCGCAGCUUAACUGUGGGACUUGCUGGAGAUACUAUUAGACUGGAGGUAGGGAGAGGUGAGGGGUACUCCCAGGGGGGGGGUGAAAUCCGAGAAGAGUGGGAGGAAAAAAGGUGGCGAAGGAGAAUAAAUGGAACGAUACUGACGGUGAGUAGAGAAAGAGUGGGUAGCAAACAG